rnacentral:lncRNA from 1 species
AGACACUUUAAAAACUAGAUUUAGUAGCAGUCACAUUAGCUUAGAUAAUGGGAGAAUUUUUCUUCAUUGAAAAUGCUCUCUGUCGCUUAAGAAGAACUUACUGAGGCAGCCUGCCAUCUAGCUUUUUCACAGAAAAACAGGCUUGCAGACUGCAGAUGAGAGAGUCUGGAGCAGAGACAAUUUUAACUUAGCCAUUCCUAAUUUAUCUCAAGCGUUUUCAAUUCAUCUUCACUGCUCUAUGCACACAGGAACACCAGAUUGCCAUCCCUGGGGAACAGAAUGCAACCCGGGAUCUAGAGAGCUGUCACAUUCCAAGAAAUAUUUAAAUUGUGCUGAUUUUCUUCUGGAGAACUGAGCCCAGGGAAUGAAACUCUCCAUCAAGUCAUGGCUUUGCGGGCAAUAGAUCAGAGGAUAUUGCCAGUUUUCUAAUGGAUUAUUGUUAUCGGGCAGGUUUUCUCUGAAGCUUCUCAGCUGCUGUUACAUUCUACUUGGAUGGGUAA